rnacentral:lncRNA from 1 species
UAGAGCGAGGCCGGCGCCGGCGCCCCCUGCCGGAGGGACUCGCGGGCAGCGGGCGGGGCGCGCGGGAAGCCGGGGGCAGCCUCCGCGUCCCGGCGGUGGCCUUCUGCGCCCGCCUGUGGGUUUGCGCCUCGGACCGCUGGUACACAAAGGUGGCGCCUUCGGGCGUCCAGUCGGACCUCGCGGGAGCCGCCCACGGUGCACAGGCGUCCAGAGCAGUUGCCACCAACCUUCGGGGGUCGGAAAACCCGGAAACGUAGGUCACAAAUCAGAGACUCCAAGCGACACUUCACCCAACCUCUGUACUGGGGCAAAUCAUGGAGCCACGGGUCCCAGAAACUCAAGACCCGGGAGGAAGAGAAGCAAGGGCUUGGCAAAGGGGAUGUUCAGGCAAAGAAACCGUCACCGCGGGCUCCUGGCCAAGGCCCGUAGGGACAAAGAUGUCCCUCCAAAAUGCUCAGGCACUUCUGGGAGUGGAGCUGCGUGGAGAGAGCCCGCGGGAGAGCGAUGCUAUCUGAAGCCACCGCAGCUUUUGGUUUACUGUUAAAAGCAAAUUGUGUCAUUUUACCCAUUAAAGGUCGAACGCUAUUUGUUCUUUGCAGAACCCCAGAACAUGCAGAAUUAAUUUGCUUCACUUGUAAAAGACGUUUUGAACGCAAUUCAAAUAGCAUACUUUCUUGCUUAUUCUUGGUUUUGCUUAGCACAUGCAAAGGUCUGGAUUUGGAAGGCCUGAUCCUCUUGUUUGUAACUGAGGAAUUUUCUCCCCCCCCCCCUCUCUUGGAGGAAAGAUUUGGAUUAUCCUGCCAUUCUGUUGUUUGUUUUCUGACAUUUAUCUUUUAACUGAUUACCAAGCAGUUUGUUUAGUGUUUUUGCUGGAGCAUUAUUCUCUGUUAAUUGGUGUGAAUUAGGGAGAGACCUGGCCUCUGUGCCAGACCCACAGGAGGCUGGUGAGCUUGCCUGCCUGGAAUUGCCCCCCACAGAUUCAGACAUGGCAGAAAAUAAAAGUUCUCUAGCUAUGGUCAGCUGACAAAAUGGCUGGACCAGCCCAGGCCCCACCCUGUUCAAAUUAUUUAGGCCUCAAGCUCUCUCUGCCCAAUUUGUCUGGAGGAACAUCUCACACAGUUCUCAUUACUAAUACACAUUAGGGGGUCUGAUUGCAGCUGGCCAGGGCCCCACUGGAAAUCCAGAGGAAGAAUGGGAAAAAAAUGCCCACUCUUGGCUGGGUGGUAAAAUCAUUAUCAAACUUCCUGGACCCCAAGCUCCUUCCUCAGGCCAUCCUUCUGCCCACACUGGUGCCUCUGAACUGGGGGCUGCUCUCCAGGGUGUUGUUUGAGGUCUACCAGGUGUUUAUCUUUGGGUUUUUCCUCAUUUUACCUUUCCUUGGGGGCCCUUACAGAUGCUUUUAGAAUAAGCAAGUUUUAAGAGUUGGUCUUGAAGCACUUAGUUCCAAACCCCUCCAUUCUGGAAGAAGUGAAAAACAGACAGAGGCUGCAAAGAAGGGUCCUCUGAGCCCUGCUCCGAAAAACUCAGUCACUCGGGAAGACUCUGACACUUCUAUGGGACUGUGUGCCUUGGAGAAGGAGAUCCUUUGGCCAUUUCCCAUGGUUUUCUUGUCAAUAACUCCAGCCUGCGUUCCCUGUCUCUCACUCCUUCUUCCCCCUCUCCCUCUUGGUUCAGAACUGAAAGAUAAACACAAUAAGUAAAAUCAGGAAGCACAAGCCUUCUCAGUGACUAGCAAAAUGACUUAGAUCCAAGGCCAAACUGCAGGUACACACUCCUUCCCACCUGUUAGUUAUGAGUUGCUUCAUAACAAAAUGCCGCAGAAUAUAACAGCUUCAAACAGUAAACUUAGUUUAUCGUUUCACAUAAUUCAGCAGGCCAAGAAUUCAGGAGAGGCUUAGCUAAGUGGUAGUUUCAGAGUCCCCCAGGAGGUUGCAGGCAGAUGUCAACCAGAGUUGCAGUCACUGGAAGCCUUAAGGGACUGGAGGAUUCUCACAAGGCCAUCUCGGUGCCUCAUGCUGGGCAGAUGAGUGCUGAGUACUGAACCUCUCUAUGGAGACCUUGACUAUGGUCACUGCAUGGCAACUCACUGACCCCAAAGGAGAGCCACACAGUAGGUGCAGUGUCUUCUAUAACCCAGCCUUAGAAACGCAUAGCAUCAUUUCUGCAAUGCCCUGUUGUCAUGUUUCUGGGCCCUCUUCAUCACAGAAGAGAUCUAGACAGGAACAUGUACACCAGGAGGUAGAAAUCAUUGGAAUCCCACAUCACCUCUAUGGGAGGCAGCUACAUGGAUAGGCCUCGGGAUAGGCCGCAAGCAAGAGGGAGAGAAAAGGUGCACACUUUUCUGUACUAGAAAAAGUAAAAGGCCAUGCCAGGCACUCCUUGCAGGCUACAACAAGGCCUUAGGCACCAGGGAAGAACAUUCCAGGUGGAGUGAAGGGUCAGAGUCAAGGCUUCCAGCCAGAGAUACCUGAGAAAUAUCUGAGGAACAUCUUGGAGUCCAGGUUGGAGACUGUGUGGCUUAAACUGUGUUUUCCUCAUGAAUAGUAAUGUUGAGUAUUUUACAUUUUACUAUAGUAACAUUGCAUUUUUUAUACCCAUUGACUAUUGUAUGCCUUCUUUUGUGGAAAUAUGUCUUCAAAUAUUUGGUUAAUUUUUUAAUUGGAUGAUAUCUUCUCAUCUUUGAGAAAUUUUUUUUGAGGAGUUCUCAUUUUUAAGAGUUCUUUUAUGAGUUCCAGAUGCCAAUCUUAUUUCAGACUAAGACAUAGAAAUGUACUUGUCCAGUUGCUGACUUGUCUUUUCAUUCAAGAAGAUAAACAGCCAAACUCACCAGGAUAGAAGUCUCCAUUUCCCCACUCUGUGCUCCUUACCUGUCUGACCCCCUGAACUUACACAAACAGCUUGGCAUAGUCAGGAGAGAUCCAAGGUCACUAAACCCAAAGACCAUUUUCAUUCUCCCCUUUAGCCUUUCUGCAGCACUCUCUCCUGGACCCCUCCCUCCUCAGCUUUGAUGAUGUCAAGUACUGUGGAUGCCCUCUUUGAGAUGGGCUCACAGAGGGAGGGAGGAGGCAAGGUGGCUGUACAAGUCUUGGUAAAGUAACACUGGCAGUUUCCAUAUUUCCAGCUUAUAGACUACAUAACCUGCUCAUAAGCUCAUCCUGAAAUUACACAUCCAUCCCAAACCACGGUGUUUUUGUAAAGCAUAUUCUCUCUCAAACCAUUUAUUUCUCUGCACAGCUAUUUAAGCUUUCCUGUCUCCAAAAACUCAGAUUCAGAAACAAUAAGCCAAGGAUUCCGAUUCUCACCGAGAACUACAAAAGUCAGAAGUUCACCAAGCUUGAGUGUCGUAGUCAUCGUGACAAAGAAACCAUCUUCAACUCCUGAUCUUUUUGUCAGGAAGUGGGGGCUGCAGGAGGAAGCUACAGGAAAUCGUUUUUUCCCUUUGUAGUUCAUCGUUUGUAUGAAGAAGGCUCCCACCUGGCAGGUGGUGAUCUUGGGGAGACUCUGACCAGUCAAAGCUCUAGUGUGAAUCUCUUUAGUCAGCUGGGCAAAUAAAUGUCUCACGGUUUAUUUUCCUCCCUUGUCACCAAAUAUGUGAUGUCUCAGCUAACACCAGAUAUCUGACGGAAAAUCAGGUUGGCCUCCAACAUCUGAAUUCCAUUGUGACACUAACCGCCCAGAGUCAGCCUCAGACUUCACAGGUUGAAGGGCUCAGACCUCAAGACUGCACUGAUGCCAGCUGCACCUACUGAUUCCUGGGUGCUUACCUGGGAUUUCUGUCUGACUUGCUACAAAUGCAAAGGUUCCCACAAAUCCCUCCUCUAAAACACCCUGCAGAACUCCGGAACACACUGUCCCUUACUGUUACUGGUUUACCAUAAGGACAAAGGAUACGACUCAGGGAUCACCCAGUGGAAGAGAUGCAUGGGGUGAGGUGUGGGGUUGAGGGGAACGGAGCGUCCCUGCCCUCUCCAGGCACAUCCAUCCCCCCAGAACCGGGACCUGUUCACCAGCGUGGAAGCUCUCUGAACCCUGUCAUCUAGGGGAUCGCGUGGAGUCUUCAUUGGGUGGGCAUGACUGACUACACAUCAUUGUCAGGGGUGGGGCGGAAAGCCCCAACUCUCUAGUCGAGGCUUCAUCUUUCUGGCGAGCAGCCCCUAACCUGAAGCUAUCCAGGGCCACAGCCACCAGCCAUCCCAUGAGCACGAAUUCAGAAAAGGUCUGGCCGCUCGUUAUGAAUGAUGCCUGAUGCUCAUCACAGGAAAUUCCUAGAGUUUUAGGAGCUCUGGGCCAAGAACUGGUGACAAAGACCAAAUAUAUGUUUCCCAUUACUCCACACACAUAGUCAGAAUGUUUUUCCUGAUGCAGGAAUUAAAAAUAGUAAUAAUUCAUUCUUUAAAAAAAAUCAAUAAACCGAGAUGUAUGUUUAUCACCAUGGUUACUACUUCAUGAUUAUUAUGUUAAAACACUAAUGUCACUAGGAUUUUGUUCAGUGAUGUUUCAUGUCUAUGAUAUCUUUCAAAAUCCCUUUUUAAGAUAAUUUAUUUCUUAGUCUUCAAAGUGAGGUAGUCUGGGAUGGUGGUUCUUCAGCAGGCUGAGGCAGGAGGAUAACAAGUUCAAGGCCAACCUCAGCAACUUAAUGAGAGUCUGAAUUUUUUUAAGGGGGGUGGGUGGGAACUGGGGAUGUAGCUCGGUAAUAAUCACUUAUCUAGCAUUUGCCAAGUACUGGGUUCAAAGGACAGUACCACAAAACAGAAACGAUACAAAGCAAAACUAAGGUAGACUCUUUAUCCCCUAUGGAUCAAUGCUAUAGUUUAAACAUGGAAUUUCCCUCAGAGGCCCUUGAAUUAAAAGCUUAGACAUGGUGGUGCUGUUGGGAAGUGGUGAGAGGUGGGGUCUUGUGGGAGGUCCUUAGGUCACUGGGUAUGUUCCCCCAAAAGGAAUUGUGGGAACUUGACCUUUUCUCUUUCACUGGUCCCUGGCUCACAAGUGUUUUCACUCCAACACACACUUCUUGCACACACUCCUUGCCAUAGGCCCAAAAUAAUGGGGCCAACGGAUGAUGGACUCCAAAACUGAGAGCCAAGAGAAAACCUUUCCUCUUCACAAGUUGAUUGCCUCAGGUAUUUGUUGUAGUAAUGGAAAACUGACUAACACAAUAAAAAAAUCACCUGUUUUACUGGACAGUGCUUAAACACACAACUGCUCUCUUGAAUAACACAAUCUCUGAAAUACAUUAAAAGCUAUGGUUCCACUAGUAAAGCUACUGGAAGCCGAGACCUAUAGUGAGCAGUCUUACAUUCAGCCUGCUGGUUUUGAUGUAUGUUAGGGAUUGAACUGUGUUUUCCAAAAAGAUGUUGAAGUUCUAAUACUAGGAACAAAUCCCUCCCUGGGGCCUUCAGAGGAAGCCAGUCUCGCCCACACCUUGAUCUCAGACUUCUGGCCUCGAGAACUGUGAGACAAUAAUUUCUACUGUUUAAGCCACUCAGUUUUGUGUUCUUGGUUGUGGUGGUCCGAGAAAACUAAUAUUAAAUAGUAGUGAGCAUAGAUCAGAGACAGCCCUCUCAAAUUCUAAUUAUCAUAAAACAAACAACACGAAAUUGUUGAACAUAAAUUAUCUCAACUAGACUAAACACACAUUCACACACACAUGCACACACUAUUCUCUGUGUUAGAAGAAGAAGACCACAGUUCUCUCAUUCCCAGGAGGGUGUGACUGAUGAUCCAGUGAUCCUCUUGUAGAUAUGAAUGUGCUUACUCCCUGGGGUUGAUCUAGGCCAUUCUUGAACUGGAUCCACCACAGGGGACCUCAUUAAAGGAAAACCCAGAACACCCAGGAAAAGGAGAGCAGUCUUGUGUAGCUCUGCAGAGGGAUGGAAGCCUUCAUGCUUAACAAAUCCUAGUGUACUGGGUCAAGACAUGUCCCAUAAGGUUUCUCCCAUAAGGUUUUGGGUCCUUCAUGCCAACAAGGGCUUUCUACUACUGUGCCAUUAAUAAGAUGUGGUGGUCCUCUGUGAGACUUAGACAGUCCUUGAAUGUGAGGAGAUGGGAUACGUUCAGACACAGAUGUAGGUUACGAUUCCUGUCACAGUUUAGAAGGUCAGUGUGUAACGGGAUGACUACAUGAUGUCGCCUUUCUCAUCACCCCAUGAGGGUGCAUGCAGCUUCUCUCCAUUUUCUUUUUAAUUUCUAUUUUAUUUUUUCGGCACCGAG